rnacentral:rRNA from 1 species
AGAGUUUGAUCCUGGCUCAGAUUGAACGCUGGCGGCAUGCCUUACACAUGCAAGUCGAACGGCAGCACGGGAGCAAUCCUGGUGGCGAGUGGCGAACGGGUGAGUAAUAUAUCGGAACGUGCCCAGUCGUGGGGGAUAACGUAGCGAAAGCUACGCUAAUACCGCAUACGAUCUACGGAUGAAAGCGGGGGAUCGCAAGACCUCGCGCGAUUGGAGCGGCCGAUAUCAGAUUAGCUAGUUGGUGGGGUAAAAGCUCACCAAGGCGACGAUCUGUAGCUGGUCUGAGAGGACGACCAGCCACACUGGAACUGAGACACGGUCCAGACUCCUACGGGAGGCAGCAGUGGGGAAUUUUGGACAAUGGGCGCAAGCCUGAUCCAGCAAUGCCGCGUGC